rnacentral:rRNA from 1 species
GAUCCAUGGCUCAGGAUGAACGCUAGCUACAGGCUUAACACAUGCAAGUCGAGGGGCAGCAUCAUCAAAGCUUGCUUUGAUGGAUGGCGACCGGCGCACGGGUGAGUAACACGUAUCCAACCUGCCGACAACUCUGGGAUAGCCUUUCGAAAGAAAGAUUAAUACCGGAUGGCAUAGUUUUCCCGCAUGGGAUGACUAUUAAAGAAUUUCGGUUGUCGAUGGGGAUGCGUU